GACGAACGCUGGCGGCGUGCCUAAUACAUGCAAGUCGAACGAGAGCGACCGGUGCUUGCACUGGUCAAUCUAGUGGCGAACGGGUGAGUAACACGUGGGUAACCUGUCCAUCAGAGGGGGAUAACAUCCGGAAACGGAUGCUAAAACCGCAUAGGUCUUCGAGCCGCAUGGCUUGAAGAGGAAAAGAGGCGCAAGCUUCUGCUGAUGGAUGGACCCGCGGUGCAUUAGCUAGUUGGUGAGGUAACGGCUCACCAAGGCCGUGAUGCAUAGCCGACCUGAGAGGGUGAUCGGCCACAUUGGGACUGAGACACGGCCCAAACUCCUACGGGAGGCAGCAGUAGGGAAUCUUCCGCAAUGGACGCAAGUCUGACGGAGCAACGCCGCGUGAGUGAAGAAGGUGUUCGGAUCGUAAAACUCUGUUGUUAGAGAAGAACAAGUGCUAGAGUAACUGUUAGCGCCUUGACGGUAUCUAACCAGAAAGCCACGGCUAACUACGUG
rnacentral:rRNA from 1 species